CAUGGGCCGCCUGCUUAAAAAUGAUCAUGCUUGCAAGCGCAUACCCUUCUCUCUUCCUCUAGGUGGGUCUAAAGGCAAGAGGAAACUUUGAUUGGGAAAAUUCUUUAUCUCUUGUUCUUGAGGGAUCAGCCAACAGAACCAUCUGGAUGAGUCAUGGCUGGAGAGGCUAACUCAGAUAUAACAAGUCCUUAAAGAUGAAGAGCUGGUCCUUGAGUUGCCACCUGAAGUGACCUGGAAGCCAGUGGAGGGUAUGAAGUUCUUGUGUGAUAAACUCUUGAUAUUUUUUCUGGAUGCUGUGUUCUGCACCAGGCUGAAUUUCUGUGUUGUCUUCACCUUCAGCCCCAGAUGAAAUGAGUCACAGUAGUACAGUCUGGAGGCAAUGAAACCAUGUAAUACUGUGACAAGAUGCCCAUGCAAGAGGAAGUUGUGCAGUUUCCUGUUAAGCUGAGAUGGAAGAAAUCACUUCUUAAAACUGCUGCUACCUGGGGAUGCGAGUUUAGAGAUGAGCUCAGUAAGACCUCAAGACUUCGUCCUAAUUGAUGACAAUUAGGUGGAGGGCAGAUGUCUUUGACUGGGGAAAAACUCCAGUCACUGACUAGUGGGAGAAUCAUUGAUGCUGCUCUUGCCCAAGUAAGAAGAUGAAAAAAAGCACUAAGCCGCUUCUGUCCAGGAAUCUGAAAGCACAUUACAGGAAAUUAAGGAGAGAUGAUGAAGAAAGCAGCAUGUCACGGUUACCAGGCUAGCUGCACUGCUGUCCCUUCUCAGAGUCUCUCUGAUGGCAAUCCCCACAGAUCCCAAGCCUGGAGCAUUAACUCUCCUGCAGUGGAACACCAUAGUUCACCCAUUCUAAGACCAAGACCUGGGUUGCAGCCUGCCUGGUACCAACUGUGAUUAAUUCAGCAGGUCCAGCUGGGAUCAGACCUUGCCAGGCUCUCUCUUUGGGAGCCCAUGACAGCAUAUAUUUGCAGUGAUGCAGACAAUGUCAUCAAAACAAAGCAUGGUUUAUUUUGUACAAAAUGUACACUGUCUUAGGGAAGUAGAUUUAAAAUAACAAAGAGGCCCACACACCCAGUCCCUUACCAAACUUAGCCUCUCAAUCCAUAGUGCAGGUGGGUCUCUGUCUUAUUCCCUAUUGCUGAGCUGGGAGAACCAGCCUACACUGUUUGCAGCCUGGCCUCUGUGUCUCAAUCAGACUGUUAAUUUUUUCUCUGACACAUCCUCAGCUCACCCCAACCCCCCUUCUUUUCUGCCAGGGACCUUUUUAUCGGCCAGGGCCUUUUGCUCUCAAGCUUGGCCUUGGGAAAGGUACUCCAUUGUAGUCUGGAUGGAAUCAGCUAUUAUCUUAACUCCUUUGGAGCUGGCUCCUGAUAGUCUGUUUUAUCUGUGUCAUUGUUUUACCUUUCCUAGGUUCUUUAGCAGCCUCCCUUUACAGCCUCUUUUGAUUUAACUCUGUGCAUUCAGGCAGGGAACAAUCCCAAAUGGAACAGGGAAACAGUCAUACACAAUAGUCAUAAAAAACAAUGCAAACAUUUUUCUAGUUUGUGCCAUAGCACAUGGUCACUUCUGGAGGAAGCUUUGGCUGCCAGGGUCAGUUGGAGAACGUGAGAGUGGGUUUUAUUAGUGCCUUUCUAGGUAAUCAUUUUGCCACUGUUACACUCCCUGUAGCAAACGGCAUCUCUUGCCGCUUCCCAGAUUAAUUAGUGCAUGUACAAAGCUCUGCAUUAGUGAUAAAUAUUAUUACUUGUAUUAUUAAGGGUUUGCAGUCAGCACAGCUAGUCACUUUGAAGCUUCUCCUCCAUCUUGUAUUCUGUCUUUCCAUACUCACUCUCCUGAACUUUGAUAGCUAGAUUCUACACUCUGCUGUCCAGGGGGAAGACAGAAGAGCAAGUAGAUAGUGACAGGGUGGGAUCUCUCUGUAAAGCUAGGAACACUGGAAGAGACAGCUCGGUAGCAUACCAGCUCCUAUAUCAUGGUCAAUGGAGUAAAGUCAGCCAGUUGUGGCGGGGUGUCCAGCCCCCAGCUAUGCUGGCUGGCAGCACCCAGAUGCUAAGGUGAUGGGUAAAUACUAAUGGACAGAUGGACUAUGCUGCUAUGCAUGCUGUAAUCAGCAGCACAUGUGAGCCAUGGGUGCUUUUCAGACCAGUGCAUCUCCCUGUGCGUCCCCUUGUAUCUGGCCCUGGAAAGCAUGAUGCUAGGGACAAAGACGACUGCUACCUCCUCUUUGUGCCUAGCAGUGCUUGUCAGAGCCACAUUACUUGUACAAGGCCAUGUCAUUCUUCAUCUGGGGCUAGAUCAUCCCCCCUGCAUUGGUGCAGGCUUGUGUUUGUGUGUGUGUGUAGGGGGAAGACAUAAGAAGCCUUUUCCCUGCUUCUGCACCCUGCUUAGGAGCCAGAAAUCAUCACAGUCCCUGCACCUGAAGCACUGGCCAGAGCAGCAGGCCAGCUGUGCAGAGGGGAGCAGGUUGCACUAUCCUCCUGGAAUUGGGAAGGUGCGGCUCCCCAUCAACCCCUCCACAGCAUUGUGUAGGGAUACUCUUGGCAUUUGUCACCUUGUGUAUAGGAUAUAAACUAACUUGUGCAUGAAUGUCCUCUGCUAGUACUCAUCACCUUCACCGACACAGAAAGCAGAAGGGUGUUUAGCUGAUCAGAAACCACGUCUUCAUAUAAGCCACUGUUAUCUCUGAUUUUCUAAUGGAAUGCUGGAAGAAGUGAGGAAGUAGCUACAUGACCGGAGGUUCCUCUUUUUGGUUAUAUAGGAAUUUCCUGUAAGACUGGGUUUUUCCAGGGCAAUGAGUUAUUCACCCUGUGCUUAUACAUCUGUCAGCCUGUAUUGAGAAACUGCUGGGAGAAAUAGAGAGAGAAUAAUCACAGGAUAUACACUCAUCCAGUACCAGAAAGAUGGAAGAAACUCAUAUGAAUGUGGAGGUUUAUUACUGUCUAAUGUGGAGUCUGUUACUAUAAUUGAAGCUGGGAAAUUUGAGAUCUGUUUUACAAUUCCUGCUGCUUUUAAUACAUAUAAUAUGUACUGCACAGUACAUGCAAUGUGUAUUUCUUUGGGCUAAUUAAUGCUAUUUAGUGGCCUGAGUGUUUCCAUUCUAAGCUUCUAUUUUAAGUCCUUCAUAUCUCUCUGAAACUUUCACCUAUUUGGCUAAAAUUUUCCCUGGCUGAUCUCUCUAUGAAUUUAUUUCAGAAGGUUGCACUCAAAAAAUGGAUCAGCUGUCUUUGGGUUCUUUAUCUUAAAAAUGUUGAGAGCAAGAAGGUUGCAUGAUUAAGCACUCAAAAGUCAGGAAAUGCUAAAAAUCAAGUUUACCUACACAACCUCUACACAACCUUAACUUUGCCUCUUUGUCUAUAAGCAUCAUGACAGUCUUGAAUUGCAUCAUCACAUGUUAUACCUCAAAUAAAAGACCUGGUGGAAAGCAUCUUGUGUUCCCCUGUGGUGCCAAGCGUCAUUCACUGCACAUUUGGCUUGUGAAUGACUUUCAUGAACUCUGCAGAGGAAGCCUAAAAAAAUUCAGUGGGGGAAAAAAAACUACAUUGACAUUAAAGAUGCAGGAAAUACCUAUGUUAAUGUUGCUUGUUUAACCUAAAUGCUUCUCCCUUG